UACGUAGGGUGCUAGCGUUAUCCGGAUUUACUGGGCGUAAAGGGCGCGUAGGUGGUCUUUCAAGUCGGUGGUUAAAGGCGACGGCUCAACCGUAGUAAGCCGCCGAAACUGGAAGACUUGAGUGCAGGAGAGGAAAGUGGAAUUCUCAGUGUAGCUGUGAAAUGCGUAGAUAUUGAGAAGAACACCGGUGGCGAAGGCAGCUUUCUGGACUGUUACUGACACUGAGGAGCGAAAGCAUGGGUAGCGAACAGG
rnacentral:rRNA from 1 species